rnacentral:rRNA from 1 species
UACGUAGGGUGCAAGCGUUGUCCGGAAUUAUUGGGCGUAAAGAGCUCGUAGGCGGUUUGUCGCGUCUGCUGUGAAAACUCGGGGCUUAACCCCGGGCCUGCAGUGGGUACGGGCAGACUAGAGUGCGGUAGGGAGACUGGAAUUCCUGGUGUAGCGGUGAAAUGCGCAGAUAUCAGGAGGAACACCGGUAGCGAAGGCGGCUCUGGGCGAUGAACUGACGCUGAGGAGCGAAAGCGUGGGGAGCAAACAGG